GAUGAAGAACGCAGCGAAAUGCGAUAACUAAUGUGAAUUGCAGAAUUCAGUGAAUCAUCGAAUCUUUGAACGCACAUUGCGCCCUUUGGUAUUCCAAAGGGCAUGCCUGUUCGAGCGUCAUUUGUACCCUCAAGCUUUGCUUGGUGUUGGGCGUCUUGUCUCUAGCUUUGCUGGAGACUCGCCUUAAAGUAAUUGGCAGCCGGCCUACUGGUUUCGGAGCGCAGCACAAGUCGCACUCUCUAUCAGCAAAGGUCUAGCAUCCAUUAAGCCUUUUUUUCAACUUUUGACCUCGGAUCAGGUAGGGAUACCCGCUGAACUUAAGCAUAUCAAUAAGCGGAGGA
rnacentral:misc_RNA from 1 species